UCCCUUCUCUCAGUAGUUUGAAUUUCAGAAUUCCUUUCCUCAUCUCCUCUUUGAACGCACAUUGCUCCCUUUUGUAUUCCUUCGGUCAUUCCUGUUCGAUCGUCAUCUAAACCUUCAAGCCCUGCUUUGUGUUGGGUGCCUGUCCCGCCUCCGCGCGCGGACUCACCUCAAAUCCAUUGGCGGCCCCCGCGUCGGCCACGAGCGCAGCAGAAACGCGAACUCGUGAGCCCGUCCGGGCGGCUCCCAGAAGCUACACCCACCCAGUUUGACCUCGGAUCAGGUAGGGAUACCCGCUGAACUUAAGC
rnacentral:misc_RNA from 1 species